rnacentral:rRNA from 1 species
CCCUUAGAUGUUCUGGGCCGCACGCGCGCUACACUGAUGCAUUCAACGAGUCUAAAACCUGCUCUGAUAGGGGUGGGUAAUCUUUUGAGUGUGCAUCGUGAUUGGGAUAGAUGAUUGCAAUUUUUCAUCUUCAACGUGGAAUGCCUAGUAAACGCAAGUCAUCAGCUUGCAUUGAUUACGUCCCUGCCCUUUGUACACACCGCCCGUCGCUCAUACCGAUUGAAUGAUCCGAUGAAUAUCAUGGAUUGAGGAUGCAAGUAGGUUCGCCUAUCUUCAUCUUCGAGAAGUGAAGUAAAUCUUAUCAUUUAGAGGAAGGAGAAGUCGUAACA